CUGGCGGCGUGGAUAAGACAUGCAAGUCGAACGCUAAUUUCGGGGUAGCAAUAGUUCCGGAGUUGGAGUGGCGAAGGUGCGUAACACGUGGGUAAUUUGCCGUGAAGUUGGGGAUAACUUGCUGAAAGGCGAGCUAAUACCGAAUGUGGUCUAACAAGGCUAAAGUUGGGGACCGUAAGGCCUGACGCUUCAUGAUAAGCCCGCGGCCUAUCAGCUAGUUGGUGAGGUAAAGGCCCACCAAGGCAACGAUCAGUAGCGGGUCUGAGAGGAUGAUCCGCCACACUGGGACUGAGACACGGCCCAGACUCCUACGGGAGGCAGCAGUGGGGAAUUUUGGACAAUGGGGGCAACCCUGAUCCAGCCAUGCCGCGUGUCUGAAGAAGGCCUUCGGGUUGUAAAGGACUUUUGUCAGGGAGCAAAACCCAGCAGCUAAUAUCUGUUGGGGAUGAGAGUACCUGAAGAAUAAGCACCGGCUAACUACGUGCCAGCAGCC
rnacentral:rRNA from 1 species